GGACAGUGACGAUUUGAUAUAAGGUCUCGUUCGUCGUAAUUGGCUUCAGUCAUUGCCGACCAUUCUGAUAUAUCACCACCCAUAUUCUGAGUCC